CCCCGCCGCACCUUCGUGCCCUUGCCCGACCGCGCAGCGAUGCCGCGCACCCCGCCUGGUGCGAGGGCCCGAGCGGAGCUGCCCGGCCGGCUGGGCUCGCCGCGCCGGGCCGGCUCUCCGCACAGCAGCGCCUGUUCCCCGCCUCCCCUUCCCCGGCAUCAGCCAAAAAUCCUUCACCGGCUGGGCGAGCGGCGAGAGAGGGCAGGCAGGGCGGGAAGACCGGGGGUCCCGGCACCCCAGCGCCUUCACGGCUCCGCUGGUCCUUUCCUUCUUCCCUUCGCAAUGACAUGGCCCGGCUUCUGCCCGGCAGAACUGAGACAAAACAAGAGCUUCUCUGCAGGAUGAUAGCAAUGCCUACCAAAGGAUGCAAAUCAGAAUGGACACUGGAGAGCACAAAGAACAAAUGGCAAACCUAUCCCAAAUAGCUCUGUAGCACUACCUCCUCUUAAAAUUACACAACUUUUACCUUUCAGUCUCAGUGGGGGCUGAAGGUCAUGGGAAUGGGGGGAGGACACCAAACCCCACAGAAAUCUCCAAGCUGAAGUCCAGCACCCAGCACCACCAUUUCAGUGAGUGCUGCAUGAGCAACUCUAUGGGGCCACGGUGCCCUGAACCUGCCUGCAAGCACAAUCCACCAGAGAGAUGCUGGAUGAAAUUAGGUCUGGCAAAAGACCUAAAUCCAUGGUGAAUACAGCUUGCCUAGGGCCUGGUGUGGAAUUCAGGCCUGAUUUCAGGCCCAGCAAGGAGGUGCACGCAAUGUGGGUGUGCCCACACUGAGGGCAGGGCAGGCUCCUGGUCCUUGCCCUUCUGUGCCAUUCCCUCAGGCAGCUGCACCAGGAUGCCAUGGAGGAAGGCUGCACUCUCCAAAGAUGUUUUUUCACAGUUCAUCCUCCUUCUACUUUUCUUAACUGUAAUUCUGUGUGGUGUGGCUAAACUGGUCACACACAGAUAAAAUAAGACAAACUGUUUUUCACUUCAUCUCCUGUCUCUUCUUCCUGUGCUCCAUACAAGUAUUUUGUAGCACAUGAGGAAAAAUGUUUACGUACUGCCUGAAUCAGUCUAAAUAAAAUGUUAAAGGUGACAAUCUCUUUAAACA
rnacentral:lncRNA from 1 species